GGGCGGUGCGGGGCCGUCCCCGGGCCCCGGAGCCAAUGGGCCGGGCCGGGCGGGGCGGGCGCCCCGCAGGUGCCGGCCCCACGCAACCGGGUGGGGGGCUGAGCCGUGGGGAUCGUCCACGGGGCUGCGCUGCCGGGGGGCGACUGCUGCUGCUGAUGGAGGGGAGCGGGGCGAGGAGCCGUGCGAGGGACCCACGGGCGCAGCGCCGGGGCUGGGGGAAGGCGCAGUGCCGGGAGAGCGACCCCCGCGCCCCACACGCAUGGCUGCCUCCCACCCGCCCCGGGGAUCGCGGGUGCGGGUCAAGCGGUGCGGGACACAGCCCGGCGCGGGGAGUGCGCCUCGCCGCAGGUUGUUAAUCGUCGGGUGAGAGGCCAAGCCUUGCGGAGGGGCGGGUGGGUCCAGCUCAGCCCUCGCUGGCUCCCUCCCCCAGGCAGGGGUCAGGGGCACCUGCCCGGACAUGCUUCUCCCUUCUGCUGGGCAGGUUUCAGGCAGUGCAGCCUCCCUUGGCAAGCUGCCCUCUGCUUUUCUUCCCUCCUGCCUUCCCCUGGCCCCUCCGCGGGCAUGGCAGCGUGGCUCAAACAUCCCCAGCGAGGCGCAGGCUGCCGUUGGCUUUCUGCUCCCCAGGGGAAGGUGCCCAGGCCUUGCUGGCAGGUGCUGGGGGGGCAGUGAGCAGAGCCGGAGCGGUCCCCCUUGGCCUGGCAGUUAAAAAGCCCAUCCCAAGCUUCCAGCUCGCCCCAUCCCUCCAGCUCGCGUGGGGAUUUCCCCGCUGGAAGGGUUCAGGGCACGGGUCCAGCCACCUGCUGCAGGAGCCACGCUCAGCUCCGGGCCAAGGCAGCUGCGGGAGGAGGAGGAGGAGGAACGGGACCUGCUGGGAAUGCCUCCUUGCUCCCGGCCAGUGCCCGGCCCUGCCACUCCAUAAAGGGUCCGUGGAGCUGGGCCACUCAUGACUACUGCUCCGCCAGCCCCUGCUGACCAUGUGUUACUGUUUAGCCACAACCCACAUGAAAUGCAGAAGUGGGGAGCAAAGCUUUCCACUAGCACGGCUGCAGCGCAGGGGCCUGAGCUCAAUGUCAGCCUUUGCUCAGGGCAGGAACAGCUUUGAAAUCUCGUCCUGCCAGCCGCACACAGCCCUGCGGAGGCAAGACGCAUUGGCAAACUCUGCCCUGCAGCCACAUGCUCUGGAGCUGGAGCCAUCCCUCCUUUGCUGCAGAACUGCCCAUGGCUUUCAGCAGGUGUUUGUCUGCACAGCUCUGGAUCAGCCUGAAGUCCAGGGGAAAAUGUUCUCCCGAAAGGCCUUGGGGGAUGCAAAUCCUCCCCAUUUCUCAUGGGAGUCCUGAGGUGCAGCACCCCGUGGUGCAGGGGGCAGCAGCCUGGGCGCUGCAGCAGGUGCCUCCCCCGGUGCCUCGCCAGUGCCCCCCACGCUCUUCCACCUGCCACGGAUGUGGUUUUGCUGGGGACACUUGUACGAGGAACCCAGCUAGGUGGUUUUCUUUCAAGAAGCAAAGCCUGUUCCUCUGUUCUUUCUGAAAUGCUAAUAAUCAGAUCUGUUCCAACCACUGCGCGUGGAAAAAAAUUGCAUGUGCUAGAGGAAAAAUCGAGAUCACGGGAGAGAGUGAGCUGACCUGCCCGUGCCUGUGAGCCAGCAAGCUAUGGGACAGGGAGCAGGAGACCAGAGGGGAAGCUCUGCAAUGAUUCACAGGCUGGAAAUGGCAGUGGUUUCUCAGCCAUCCCACCCCGCAGCAGAGCACCGGGCUCUGGCAGCUGCUGAGCCUCGGGGUGGUCAGAGCCGCCGUGGCACAGCUCCAGUCCCAGACCCACAUGGACUGGCCCAAGCAGCGCGCAGGCACACGCUAACCACCUCCAGAGCAGCAAAUCUGGUGCAAAUCCUGCUUUUUACCUUCUUUGGCCCCACGGCUCCAUGAAGCAUCUCACAUUCGCUGCUGCAGAGCAAAGCUCCUGCCGCCAAGGGAGGCUGCAGUGGGCGAAGGGAAGCUCAGGCAUGAGGCGUGGGGAUGGGCUGGGCACCCUCACUGCGGCACCUGGGAAGCUCCAGGAGACCCGCCGCAGGCCCCUGAGCCCAGUGGAGGAGGACGGGGACGAGCAGAGGGCCGGGAGGUGCGAGCCCCGUUCUCUCCAAAAUGCAAGACCUCCCUCUGCUGUCGGCGCACGCCGCGCCGGCCACCGCUUCGGGGGCCGCAGCGCCCAGGGUGGGUGCCUUCCCCUACGCUCGGGUCACCGAAGGGAACCUCACUGCGUGGGGGCACUGAAACAGCUCCCGGAGACUCCGCUGUGUUAUUUUUUUUAAAGCCCAGUGUCUGAGAACUAGGUAAAGACAGGGCAACUUUGAGAAGAACGAGAAGAGAGACCCAAGCCUGUAGGGAUCUCACUUAUUUUCACUAAGGGCUGAGCGUUUUCUGGAGUUUGGGGGGAAGGAGUGGGAAGGAAAAGGAAGUUUCCAUAGUGGUUCAACAGUCCUCGUUUGGAUCACCUGGAGAAUAACAUAGUCUACCCAUAAAAAAUGAGUUGCUUUUGAAGAAUGAAGCACAGACCGAUGCAAGCGUGACAUGAAGCUCUGCAUUAGAAAAACAAACAAAAACCCACCCCCAAAGCAGGCAAAUGCCCUGUUGUCAUUUUUAGUACAUUUAAACCAAAGAAAAGCUUUAGGACUGUGAGCACGUCCCUCAUUUGCUUUCCUGUGACUUGACAUAGCCUUGGUAUUGCGUGGAAGGUUCACCCUUAUGCUGGUUUUACCAGUGACCACCCAGCCCCGCUGGCCAAAGGCCGCGAAGCAUUUGCUGUUCCUUUGUCAAUCAGGUGACAUGAGGACCAUUAACGCUUUAUUGUAGAUGGGAUCCUCUACAAGAUCUCAUCCCCCCAGCGUGAGGAGACCAGGGGGAUCUGUUGCUGCAAUUCCAGAUGAAGCGAUGCCUUUGUGUUAGGGAAUUAAUGCUGACGACAAUUUGUCAGACCUGUUAAGGUCAGGCUUUGACUGCAGAUGGAUUAAUUUAAAAAAAUAGCUCAACUGCAAGCUUGUCUCCUCCCAUCCUGUGCCUCUCCCUCUGCACUGACUCCCUGUGCCAGACACGGGGAAUUUCACAGGUCCGAGGUGGCCCGAUUGCGUUAUCGCCAACAAUGGGCACUUGCGAUUUGCUGGGGCUGCAGGAUCAGCUGCUGACGAGGCGAGAGCAGCUCUGGCGAGUACUUCGAGUACUUCGCUCUUCUGCAGUAACACUCCACUGGACUGAGAAGCCCAGACAAGCUCCUUCUAUAGUAUGGCUUUUUUUUUUCAUCAGGAGUUUCUGCACGCAAAUGAGGUGCAUCAAGGCCACGCACAGAACACACCCGCCUCUCAACAGAACGUCUUUUUAAAUCGACCACCGAACAUCAGUAAGACACACCACAGCACGUGUAAGCACGUUUGUAUUUGUUAAGUUGAAGAAAUCAGCAGCAUAGAGACACACAGCCCUUCAGCAGCUGGGGGAAAUAAUUCCUGAGUAAUAUAUUGGCGCAAACCAAACCCAAGCUGUGCAGCGAGGAAGGGCUCUGCACACCCGCCGCAGGGUCGCUCAGGGCGUCGCUGUGAGCCGGCCUCGCCUCCUCGUUCGGAGCCACCUCCACUGAGGACACCGCACGGACCCGAGCGCCACAAACCUGGCAGCCAGAGCUAAAGCUGUGGGAGCUGUAAAGAUUUCAACACGAGCCCUGCUGGACGCUCAUGCUUUCUCGAGUUGACAAGGUGCUCCAGGGGGGUGUUUCAUGGCUUACAGUAUUCCCAUGCAGGACUGCAGCUGCGCUAUUCCGGCCAGCUCCAGCAGAACGGGCUCUGAACGUCAUCUGAACUAUUCUUCAUAGCCCGCAUGCUCCACUGUUAGACAGAUUGUAAAAAAAGUUGCAACUAAUCAGUACAAAAUAUUUAACGGAAGCUGAAGGCGGGAGCCUCUGCGUUUCUCCGCGUCUGCUGUGCUCCCCGCAGCGCUGCGCAGCCGCCAAGAAGGGUUUUUGGGGAGGCGCUGAAAUGAAACGUACCGACCCCAGGGAAGAAAUGACAAGAGCGAACACAAAGGUAGGAUUUUAUAAAUUAAAUGACCUUUAUUUGUAACCUAUCUUCAAAAGUCAAAAACAUGACAAAGUAAUUGCUCGGAAGCUUCUAACCGCUCCUUAAACGUUUUAUCAGAAUUGCAUGGAAGUGCACUUGGAAUAGUAGCAGAAAUCCAGAUUCCAGUCACUGGGUACCACCAAACCAGCCAGAGCCCAGAAAUCCCCAUCCAACCGCGAGCACACGGUAAUCUCUUUGCAGAUCAAGCAUUAGAAAUAACCAACCCCAAACGUGGUUAUUUUUCCACAGUAACACGGUUUUAUUUUUCCGCCCCCAAGGCUGAGCUUCCAGUCACCAAGCAGACGCCUAAGGAUGACUCUAUACUAGCCCAAACCAAGUUGGGGAAAGCAUACUAAAGCCAAGUUCAACUUAAAUCUGUUAGGGGGUCUGGCUGGACGCAAAGUUUAAUCAAGAGGUUUGAGCGGGGCGCGGUUCGUUGUUUUAAGGGUAAGGCUAUGCUGCAGUCUGCAGAACAUGAUGAUAUUAUGUUUACUGGUCAAAUAAAUUAAUUAGUACUCAAUUCUGUGGUGGUGCAGGUCCACUGCUCCAAUUACACAUGCUUAAAUUAGACUAGACAUCUCAACACUACCAUGAUUUACAAGUUCAGGUCAGGCGUCUCCAAUUCUUCUCAGCAUCCUGACUGUGCUGUUAAUGUUAAACUGAAGAGGAAUCUCUACAGCAGAACUGUAGACUUGAGUACGAGUGUCCUUUGCCCAGGUACUGGAAUUGCCACCCGGCUUUCUGGGGUAUGUUUUACUUUUUCUUUGAAAGCCCUACCUGCACACUAUACAAGUAAUAUUAUAUGGAAAACAAUCCAAGUACAGCUUCAGCUAAUUGAGCAACGUUUAAAUGCAGAACGGGAAUUCAAAAUACCUGUUAAAAUCUGUAAUGCAGGAAGGUAGUGCUAUGCGAGUGCUAUGGAUUAUUGGUAAGUUUUGUCACCAGCUUGCCUUGAGAGGUGGAAAAACCAGAAAUAUAUACAAAAAUUUUAGUUUAAAUAGAAAGCGGAGGUAUUGAAAAAAACCUUCUGAAUUUCCCUAUCAGCAUAAGGCUUAAAAUCCCUAGAAAACCAGUUUCAAAACCAUCAAUUUAAUCAUAAAGCCAGCAAAUAUGGUUAAUAUUUGCUAAAGAUAGUUCAAAAAAAUUAUGCAUUUUAACUAAGACCAACAUUUAAGUUUCUUUUCUAGGCUAGAAAUUAUGGCCAAAGUAUGGAAGAAAGUAACAGUCAUGCAUAGAACUAAAAUAUUUUGAAGUAGUUGCUUACACAGGUGCAAAGAUUUGCUAGGGAAGUUUGUAGUUUGAAGGCCCAUACUGAAGAUGUCUUCCAUAUAGCUGAGGCUGCGUGUAAGAAUUUAAACACUGGGAAACAUUAUGAAGUCACCGGCAUCGUAAGUCGCUUUCAAUGAGAGCUGGUCUGACAACUGCAGUUAGCACCUAGAGGUCUCACUAAAGGAAAAGAGAGCUACAAAUACGCCUCUCAUACUAUCGUUUAAGAUAUGUAAAUGAGAUAGGGAAGGGAUAUUUAUUAACUCAUUCAGGCCAUUCCAUUUGGAAUGGUUUUGUUUUCAGACGGUCAGAUGAACACAGCAGCGAAAGAAACUGAGAAACAGGCAUAGGUAAAGGAAAACAGAUUCGUCUCCUCCAUGUUGACUUACAAUGAAGCUUUGUGUGAAGCAAGAAAAUUAGGCUGAUAGUGUCGAAUGGCAAAGACCAUGUUAACUAAAGACUGAGUGUUACAGAAAUCUCAAACCAGGAUUGGAAACUUGAGAUAGGGAUUAAAGUCUUCUGUAUUUCUGGAUGCCUGAGUUCAUCCUGGGAUGUACAGGGAGAAGUGCGAGGAUGCUGGGCAUUUCCCCCUCAUGGAAGCUUGGUUUUACAGUUAAUCUUCUAGUCGGUUCAUUUAUCCCGCAAAGAACGCAUCAAAACCUGUGCCAUCAUAUCGUCUUCAUCAGCAUCGUAAUCC